rnacentral:rRNA from 1 species
CAAUAGCGUAUAUUAAAGUUGUUGCAGUUAAAAAGCUCGUAGUUGGAUUUCUGUGAGAGUGCCGGUGUCGGCUGAUGCUUGUACGCAGGCGCUCUUACAUCCUUCUGUUAACUGAUCUUGGCAUUUUAUUGCUGGUUCAGGGCUCAGAUAUUUUACCUUGAGAAAAUUAGAGUGUUUCAGGCAGGCUUAUGCCGGAAUACAUUAGCAUGGAAUAAUGGAACAGGACCUGUGCGUCUUUCGGGGCGCCGGUCUCCGUUAUUGGUUUCGGGGACUAAAGUAAUGAUUAAUAGGGAUAGUUGGGGGCAUUAGUAUUUAAUAGUCAGAGGUGAAAUUCUUGGAUUUGUUAAAGACUAACUUAUGCGAAAGCAUUCGCCAAGGAUGUUUNCAUUA